rnacentral:rRNA from 1 species
AGUAUAUAUUUCCGGUCAAGAAACUAAGGGCGCAAGGCGGAUGCCUUGGCACCAGGAGGCGAUGAAGGACGUGACAAGCAACGAAAACCUCGAAUAGGAGCAAAUAUCCAGUGACUCGGGGGAAUCCGAAUGGGGAAACCUACUAGACAUACUCUAGUAUCCAUACGUAAAUACAUAGCGUAUGGAAGCGAAUGUUCUGAACUGAAACAUCUAAGUAGGAACAAGAAAAGAAAGAAAACUCGAUUCUCCAAGUAGCGGCGAGCGAACAGAGAACAGCCCAUUAAAGUAAGACUAAACUGAUAGACAAAUCUUAU